rnacentral:rRNA from 1 species
GAUUCCCCUAGUAACUGCGAGUGAAGCGGGAAAAGCUCAAAUUUAAAAUCUGGUGGUCUUCGGCCAUCCGAGUUGUAAUCUAGAGAAGUGUUACCCGCGUCGGACCGUGUACAAGUCUCCUGGAAUGGAGCGUCAUAGAGGGUGAGAAUCCCGUCUUUGACACGGACUACCGAGGCUUUGUGGUGCGCUCUCAAAGAGUCGAGUUGUUUGGGAAUGCAGCUCAAAAUGGGUGGUAAAUUCCAUCUAAAGCUAAAUAUUGGCGAGAGACCGAUAGCGAACAAGUACCGUGAGGGAAAGAUGAAAAGAACUUUGGAAAGAGAGUUAAACAGUACGUGAAAUUGCUGAAAGGGAAACGCUUGAAGUCAGUCGCGUUGGCCGGAAAUCAGCCUUGCUUUUGCUGGGUGUACUUUCUGGUUGACGGGCCAGCAUCAGUUUUGACCGGUGGAAAAAGUCCAAGGGAAUGUGGCAUCUUCGGAUGUGUUAUAGCCCUUGGUCGUAUACAUCGGUUGGGACUGAGGAACUCAGCACGCCGAAAGGCCGGUCUUUGACCACGUUCGUGCUUAGGAUGCUGGCAUAAUGGCUUUAAUCGACCCGUCUUGAAACACGGACCAAGGAGUCUAACAUGCCUGCGAGUGUUUGGGUGGAAAACCCGGACGCGCAAUGAAAGUGAAAGUUGAGAUCCUUGUCAUGGGGAGCAUCGACGCCCGGACCAGAAGUUUUCUGACGGCCUGCGGUAGAGCAUGUAUGUUGGGACCCGAAAGAUGGUGAACUAUGCCUGAAUAGGGUGAAGCCAGAGGAAACUCUGGUGGAGGCUCGUAGC